GAGUGGCGCAAGGGUGAGUAACACGUGAACAACCUUCCCUCGUGAUGGGGAUAGCCCCGGGAAACUGGGAGUAAUACCGAAUGUGGCGUCUGUCCGCAUGGACGGAACGCUGAAGGCGCAAGCCGCUCGAGGAUGGGUUCGCGUCCGAUUAGCUAGUUGGUGAGGUAACGGCUCACCAAGGCGAUGAUCGGUAGGUGGUCUGAGAGGAUGGUCACCCACACUGGGACUGAGACACUGCCCAGACUCCUACGGGAGGCUGCAGUCGAGAAUCUUCCGCAAUGGGCGAAAGCCUGACGGAGCGAUGUCGCGUGAGGGAUGACGGCCUUCGGGUUGUAAACCUCUGUCGCCCGGGACGAAAUAAAUGACGGUACCGGGAGAGGAAGCUACGGCUAACUACGUGCCAGCAGCCGCGGUAAUACGUAGGUAGCGAGCGUUAUUCGGAUUUACUGGGCGUAAAGGGUCUGCAGGGGGUCUGCCAAGUCUGGCGUGAAAUUCCAAGGCUCAACCUUGGAACUGCGUUGGAUACUGGCGGACUAGAGUGCAUGAGGGGAGAACGGAAUACCUGGUGUAGCGGUGGAAUGCGCAGAUAUCAGGUGGAACACCGACGGCGAAGGCGGUUCUCUGGCGUGCAACUGACCCUGAGGGACGAAAGCGUGGGGAGCAAACAGGAUUAGAUACCCUGGUAGCCCACGCUGUAAACGGUGCAUACUCGAUGUGGGCGGAGCUUUGAUCCCGUCCGUGUCUGA
rnacentral:rRNA from 1 species